rnacentral:snRNA from 1 species
GAUCCUGUAUGAUUUGCAGGCUCAUAUACUAAAAUUGGAGUGAUGUGGAGCAGAGUAUUAUGAUCCCUGGGCAGGGAUAACAAGCAAAUUAAUGCAACAUCUCAUAUUUUU